UACGUAGGGCGCAAGCGUUAUCCGGAAUUAUUGGGCGUAAAGAGUCUCGUGAGCGGUCUGUCGCGUCGAUCGUGAAAACUUGGGGCUUAACCCUGAGCUUGCGGUCGAUACGGGCAUGACUGGAGUUCGGCAGGGGAGACUGGAAUUCCUGGUGUAGCGGUGAAAUGCGCAGAUAUCAGGAGGAACACCGGUGGCGAAGGCGGGUCUCUGGGCCGAUACUGACGCUGAGGUGCGAAAGCGUGGGGAGCAAACAGG
rnacentral:rRNA from 1 species